AACGAACGCUGGCGGCAGGCUUAAUACAUGCAAGUCAAACGCCCCUUUCGGGGGGAGUGGCAGACGGGUGAGUAACGCGUGGGAACGUGCCCAAAGGUAGGGAACAACUCCGGGAAACUGGAGCUAAUACCCUAUGCGCCCGAGCGGGGAAAGAUUUAUCGCCUUUGGAUCGGCCCGCGUUGGAUUAGGUAGUUGGUGGGGUAAAAGCCUGCCAAGGCGACGAUCCAUAGCUGUUCUGAGAGGAAGAUCAGCCACACUGGGACUGAGACACGGCCCAGACUCCUACGGGAGGCAGCAGUAGGGAAUCUUGGACAAUGGGCGCAAGCCUGAUCCAGCCAUGCCGCGUGAGUGAUGAAGGCCUUAGGGUUGUAAAACUCUUUCGCAGGUGACGAUAAUGACGGUAACCUGAGAGGAAGCCCCGGCUAACUUCGUGCCAGCAGCCGCAGUAA
rnacentral:rRNA from 1 species